rnacentral:rRNA from 1 species
CAGCACCUCAAGUGGUCAGGAUGAUUAUUGGGCCUAAAGCAUCCGUAGCCGGCGCUGUAAGUUUUCGGUUAAAUCUGUACGCUCAACGUACAGGCUGCCGGGAAUACUGCAGCGUUAGGGAGUGGGAGAGGUAGACGGUACUCGGUAGGAAGGGGUAAAAUCCUUUGAUCUAUUGAUGACCACCUGUGGCGAAGGCGGCCUACCAGAACACGUCCGACGGUGAGGGAUGAAAGCUAGGGGAGCAAACCGGAUUAGAUACCCGAGUAGUCC